rnacentral:lncRNA from 10 species
GGACGCUGGAAGUCCGACAACAAGAUAUUGGAAAGACAACAUCUGAAAAUUCUGCCUGAUAGAUAGAGAGAAGCAUCCUGGCAAGAGACACGGAGCUGACAGACGAAGAGAUGCACGUCUGACAGAAUUGGGACUAUUCACCCAAAGUCUGGGAAUUCAGCCAAAAAUUCCUGAAGGAUGAAUUCCUUUUCCUCGGUGAGGUUGACAUUUGAGCACACAUCGCCCUCUUGUGUCUACGACACAUUUGGCAACGUAGUUUCCAGCACCUGCUAAUGCACACAGCAAAUUGAAGCCUUGUUAACAUCCCUUAAGCCUGCAGACCUCGGUACAAGGCGGAGGGAGAACAAACGCACCAAUUUUCCCAGAAUAGUCAAGAACAUCCAGAAGAAUCCAGAAUUUGUGAAGAUGGUACUGGUGGACCUUACCUUCCGAAAACUGCUAUCAGGGCCUCUGCAGGAGGCCCUGGCUGUGAUAAAUGUGCAUCUGUAGAGUGCACAACCUGAACAUCCUUACCAAGCAGCCCUGACCAAUAUCUUCCUGCCUAAAGAGUGCCAAUGCUGAGAGUAUGCCUUUAAAACCCCAUUUUGGCCAUUUCUCAAGAAACCUGUACUUGAUGGAUCAGCUGGCACCAUCCAGAUCAAUAAACUGGCUCAUCUGAUCUGGACCCCCCACCUAGGAACUGACUCAGCGCAAGAAGACAGCUUCGACUCUCUAUGAUUUCAUUCCUGACCAAUCAGUACUCCUGGCUCACUGGCUUCCUCCCACCCACCAAGUUAUCCUUAAAAAUUCUGCUUCCCGAAUGCUAGGGGAGACUGAUUUGAGUAAUAAUAAAACUCUAAUCUCCUGCUCA